rfam:Penicillium marneffei ATCC 18224 scf_1107713383609 genomic scaffold, whole genome shotgun sequence.
AUGAGUAACGAAAAAGUUAACCUCGCCUUAAGCUUAUGGUAUUUAAAUUAAUUUUCGGUGUCUAAGUAAUUAAUCUAAAGAUAAUUACGAUGACGUAAUGGUGAAUUUUUAAUUUAUAUAAUUAUAAAUUUAACUAAUUACAAAACUAUAAGUAACAAUAUAUAUAAUAUAUUACUAUAAUGAAAGAUUGCAUAACCUUUGUAAAGUAGCAGAGGUUCAGGAAAUAAGUUUUUUAUUAUAUACUAUUUAUAUUAUACAAAAUAUUGUUAUAUUAAAUGAUAUAGUAAUAAAAAAGUAAUUAGCAUAUACCGUACCUAGAUACUAUCACAAGUAAGCAAGUAGAGUAUACAAAGGCGUUUGAGUGAACAAUCAUUAAGGAACUCGGCAAAUUGACUACCGUAACUUCGGGAUAAGGAGAACCAUUUUUAUUAGUUUGACCAAUUUUAUAUUGGAUAAUUAUUAAAUUAAUAGAAAGAGGGGGCAUAGAAUAAUGUUGUACGACUGUUUAAUAAAAACAAAGCACUCUGCCAAGAUAAAAGUCUAAGUAUUGAGUGUGAUGUCUGCCCAAUGUCGGCUGGAUAACGAAUUUAUCUUGAUAUUUAUUUAAGGUUUUGAAGGAUACCCCGAUCAAUGGCGGCCUUACCUAUGAGGGUCCUAAGGUAGCGGAAUACCUUGGCCGUUAAAUGCGGUCUUUGCAUGAAUGACUUAACGAUACAACAGCUGUCUCGAUGAUUGUCUCAGUGAAAUU